GACGAACGCUGGCGGCGUGCUUAACACAUGCAAGUCGAACGGAAAGGCCCUGCUUGCAGGGUACUCGAGUGGCGAACGGGUGAGUAACACGUGGGUGAUCUGCCCUGCACUUCGGGAUAAGCUUGGGAAACUGGGUCUAAUACCGGAUAGGAACCAUCUUUAGUGUGGUGGUUGGAAAGUUUUUUCGGUGUAGGAUGAGCUCGCGGCCUAUCAGCUUGUUGGUGGGGUAAUGGCCUACCAAGGCGGCGACGGGUAGCCGGCCUGAGAGGGUGUACGGCCACAUUGGGACUGAGAUACGGCCCAGACUCCUACGGGAGGCAGCAGUGGGGAAUAUUGCACAAUGGGCGCAAGCCUGAUGCAGCGACGCCGCGUGGGGGAUGAAGGCCUUCGGGUUGUAAACUCCUUUCGCUAGGGAGGAAGCUUUGUUGUGACGGUACCUAGAUAAGAAGCACCGGCUAACUACGUG
rnacentral:rRNA from 1 species